UACGGGGGGGGCAAGCGUUGUUCGGAAUUACUGGGCGUAAAGGGUUCGUAGGUGGCCAACUAAGUCAGACGUGAAAUCCCUCAGCUUAACUGGGGAACUGCGUCUGAUACUGGUUGGCUUGAGUGCAGGAGAGGAACGCGGAAUUCCAGGUGUAGCGGUGAAAUGCGUAGAUAUCUGGAGGAACACCGGUGGCGAAGGCGGCGAUCUGGGUCGAUACUGACGCUGAGGUGCGAAAGCGUGGGGAGCGAACGGG
rnacentral:rRNA from 1 species